UGGUUACGUCAUAUAUUUGAUCUAAACAAGUCCCUCCAGUCAAGUAUUUUCAAGGAGCUUGAACGCCACAACCUUGCGCAAGAAACGAGCAUUUCGCUCAGCUGUGUGCGUGUGUUAUUACACAUCCACUUACCAGCCAGCCGUCGCAUGUGCGCGUGUGGGUCAGCCAUAUUGGAGCGGUACAAAUAGUCAGAGAGAUGAAUAAACACACCACUAAAAACAGUUUCGCGUUCAACUGGCUAGAGUCAAGCGACCACUUGGUACAAGUUCUGGAUGAGCAUCUUCUGCGUGGAGAGCUCGCUGCUGAGUGACGGUCCCGAGCUGGAUUGGCUCGGUGCAUUCUGCCUGCGUCCACAAGCUCGUCGUCGUGUUUGCUCUUCAGCAGCAUGGAGGAAACCUGAGUUUUCAGGGUUUUUAUGUCAGCAGACA